rnacentral:rRNA from 1 species
GUCGAGCGGCAGCAGGUCCUUCGGGAUGCUGGCGAGCGGCGGACGGGUGAGUAACACGUGGGAAUCUGCCCAUCGGUGGGGGAUAGCCCGAGGAAACUCGGAUUAAUACCGCAUACGCCCUACGGGGCAAAGUAGACCUCUGAUUUAAGUUUACGCCGAUAGAUGAGCCCGCGGCCGAUUAGCUAGUUGGUGGGGUAAAGGCCUACCAAGGCAACGAUCGGUAGCUGGUCUGAGAGGACGAUCAGUCACACCGGAACUGAGACACGGUCCGGACUCCUACGGGAGGCAGCAGUGGGGAAUAUUGGACAAUGGGCGAAAGCCUGAUCCAGCAAUGCCGCGUGGGUGAAGAAGGCUUGAGGGUUGUAAAGCCCUUUCAGCAGGGAGGAAAAGCGUACGGUUAAUACCCGGGCGUCUUGACGUUACCUGCAGAAGAAGCACCGGCUAACUCCGUGCCAGC